CCUACGGGAGGCAGCAGUAAGGAAUAUUGGUCAAUGGGCGGAAGCCUGAACCAGCCAUGCCGCGUGCAGGAAGACGGCCCUACGGGUUGUAAACUGCUUUUGCAGGGGAAUAAACCUUCGUAUGUAUACGAAGCUGAAUGUACUCUGAGAAUAAGGAUCGGCUAACUCCGUGCCAGCAGCCGCGGUAAUACGGAGGAUCCAAGCGUUAUCCGGAUUUAUUGGGUUUAAAGGGUGCGUAGGCGGCCAAUUAAGUCAGGGGUGAAAGACGGUAGCUUAACUAUCGCAGUGCCUUUGAUACUGAUUGGCUUGAAUGGACUAGAGGUAGGCGGAAUGUGACAAGUAGCGGUGAAAUGCAUAGAUAUGUCACAGAACACCAAUUGCGAAGGCAGCUUACUAUGGUUUAAUUGACGCUGAGGCACGAAAGCGUGGGGAUCAAACAGGAUUAGAUACCCUGGUAGUCCACGCCCUAAACGAUGAACACACAUAUAGUGAUAUACUAGUAGUAGUCUAGACGAAGACGUAAGUAGUUCCGUACCGUCGGGAGGUACGGUCCGGCCGACGGGUUAGGUUAAACGUUAAAGUUAAGUUAAGUUAGUUACGGCGUUGAGGACGUUAGCGACGGACGACGACGAGGGAGGAGGGAG
rnacentral:rRNA from 1 species